CGAACGCUGGCGGCGUGCUUAACACAUGCAAGUCGAACGAGAUCCAAUGUGUAGCAAUACACAGGAAGAUCUAGUGGCGAACGGGUGAGGAACACGUGAGAAACGUACCCCAGACUUUGGGAUAACAGUUCGAAAGGACUGCUAAUACCAAAUAACGUCGGAAGUCCGCAUGGACAUCUGACGAAAGGGAUUCCGGUUUGGGAGCGUCUCGCGGACCUAUCAGCUAGUUGGAGGGGUAACGGCCCACCAAGGCAACGACGGGUAGCUGGUCUGAGAGGAUGGUCAGCCACACUGGGACUGAGACACGGCCCAGACUCCUACGGGAGGCAGCAGUGGGGAAUCUUGCGCAAUGGGCGAAAGCCUGACGCAGCAACGCCGCGUGCGGGAAGAAGGCUUUCGGGCUGUAAACCGCUUUCAGUAGGAACGAAACUGACGGUACCUACAGAAGAAGGAGCGGCCAACUAUGUGCCAGCAGCCGCGGUAAUCUGAUGGCG
rnacentral:rRNA from 1 species